rnacentral:SRP_RNA from 1 species
CCGCGCUAGGCGGGGAGCCAGCGGUGCCCUGUACCCUCAAUCCGCUAUAGAGGGGCGGAAUCCCCGACCGAGGCCUUAGCGCGCAGUGCCGGUCCGUUACCCCGGGUCAGCGGGUUGGGCCCCACGCGGCAGACGCCUCCGAACCGUGUCAGAUCCGGAAGGAAGCAGCACUAAGGAGGAACGUCUGGGCGCCGUGGGUUACCUGACCAACGCCCUCGGGGAAGAACGCGACAUUGCGGGCGGGUCGAAGAAGGGUGCGCGG